rnacentral:rRNA from 1 species
AGGAACCUUACCUGGGCUCGAACGUAAGAUGACUGUAGGUGAAAGCUUACAUCUCUUCGGAGCAUUUUACGAGGUGCUGCAUGGUUGUCGUCAGCUCGUGCCGUGAGGUGUCGGGUUAAGUCCCAUAACGAGCGCAACCCCUACCUUUAGUUGCCAUCAGGUAAUGCUGGGGACUCUAAAGGAACUGCCUACGCAAGUAGUGAGGAAGCGGGGAUGACGUCAAAUCAGCACGGCCCUUACGUCCAGGGCUACACACGUGCUACAAUGGCCGAUACAGAGGGCAGCUACCUGGUGACAGGAUGCAAAUCUCCAAAGUCGGUCUCAGUUCGGAUCGGAGUCUGCAACCCGACUCCGUGAAGUUGGAUUCGCUAGUAAUCGCGCAUCCAGCCAUGGCGACGGUGAAUACGUUCCCGGGCCGUU